UGUAUAGCCUUGCAUUAUGAAAAGAGCACAGAACAGGAAGUUAGGACAUCUUGCUUUGAGGUCUAGAACAGCCAUCAACUAUAUGAUCUUGGGUGAGUCACUUCACCUCUCUGAACCUGUUUCCUCAAGAAAAAUAAGCAGAGUAGGCUGCCUGCGUGAUCUCAAGACAACACACUGUGCUAGAAUGAGUCUUACAGCAAGAGUUCAAAGUUCAAAUUCUAAUUCUAGAACUCGUUGAGUGUAAAAUUCACAGCAAGUCAUAGAACCUCUUGGAACCCCAGUUUCCACAUCUGGAAGAAGGGGCAGAAUAGUAUCAAAAAUGCUUCACUCCCAGGAAUGUGGUGAGCAUAAAAUUAAAUAAUGAAAAAGUCAACUAUAAAGCACUAAAUAAAUAUAAGAUGGUGAAUCUGACAGAGGAAGAAUUAAAUGACUUGUUCAAGGUCACCUUUGAGGAAUUUGCAGGAAGUUUAACUUAUGUAUAUUUUUCCCCUGUAGUACCCCAGUCUAUAUUUUUUCAGGGGCCUAAUGACAGGAAAACAAAUGAAGUGGAUCCCCAUCUUCCACCCUUGCCUCCGCUAAGCCAUCAGAGGACAAGUUUCCCACCCCACUCUCUCCAAUUUCACUUGAAAAAUAAAACAGGCCUCCAGCUGUGAAAUGGAUUAUGCUCUACAACUAUGUACCUGGAAUAGAAGCCAUCAUUCUUCAUGAAGUUUGCUGAGAAUUAUGUAUCGCAGCCUGGCAGCUUCCUGUUCCCUCGUUAGCCUGCAUAUCCCACUUAACGAAAGAUUCGCCAUGCACUGACUUGUAUGUGACUCACAGUGUGCACAGUAUGCACUGACUGUGACCUGUCCCCAAAUGAACACAGUACCAGUCUAACGUACCACCUUACCUAUGGCUCUCUCCCAUACACACCCAAUCCACUGCAGGCAAAUGAUCUACCCACAAUCUCCCAAACACAGUCUUCACUGUCUGGUCACUGCUCCUUUACACGUGGCAUUCACUCUGCUUGCAGAGGCAUUUUAGAGUGGAUAUCUAAAGAAGGAGAUUUCUCCCAAGCAUGCACAUAGGAGGGCACUGGUCUGAUGCUCUGAUUGACAGUUCACUACUGCAAAGAGGACAGAUGAGAAAGCAGCUCAGCUCUUUGAUGCUAAGGAAAAAACACAGAACCUCACUUAUCUAUAUGUAAUCACAAACUUUAGUAUCCAUCAGUACCAAGCCAAAAUAGUUCCUGUUUGGACAUACAUUAUUAGAAAUUAACAACAAAAUUUAGUAAAUGGUUGGCCAGUUCUGAACGCAGAAUAGCCACCUCUGAGUGAGCAUUUUGAUCAAUCUAACUCACACAUUUCUGGUUCAACAAAGUUAUUAGAUGAGAAGACCCAAAACGGUGUGUAAAUGGGACACAGAUUUAUAAACAGUUAAUUUAUAAUCAUAUAUGGCAAAUUAACCUGUAUGUCACUAAUGUGCCACCAAUCAUAAGACAUGCCAUCAUUUAAUCUGUCAUGAAGAAGUGAAAAACUCAAUUAAACGGUGACAUCAUGCUUCCUGAUUAGAAAUGUUCAUUUUUUUGUUAUGCUAAAUUUACAUAAAUACAUAUUUAUUUAAACAACACGGGGCCACAAUAUGAACAUCUAUGCCCAAGUUUCUGCAUGCCCAGCAAUGACUGCCACCCUGACAAUGGUGACUGAUAUCAUCAAGUGUAACAUGCAUCCUGAUUCAAGUUGUUCAACUGUGACACAACGGGUACCUUAGCACUGAUGAAAUAUGGUACCCGCCUGCGUCACAUGAGCUUCUCAUGAUCCAGCAGCCUCUCCUCACCUGACACUGGCUCUAGUCCCCAGUAAUGACUCUGAUCCUGUUUGUCCUAGGAGUCUUCUCUUCCUUUGUUUCCCACUUCCCUCACUGGGCUACUCAGUAACCAGUUAGCUGUUAAGGCGCAAGCCUUUUUUUAUUUUAAUUUUUAUUUUUUCCAAAACUCCUCAACAAUUGCAAUUGCCACUUUGUUUCUACUAUUAUUGCCCUUGACUUAUUUCUUUAUUUAUUUAAGUUUCUUUUGUUUUUAAACAAGAAGGC
rnacentral:lncRNA from 1 species